GACAGAGGCCUCAAGCGUUAGGCGGAAUCACUGGGCUUAAAGCGUGUGUAGGCGGAUCGUUAAGUCCCUUGUGAAAUCCCACGGCUCAACCGUGGAACGGCUGGGUAUACUGGCGGUCUUGGGCCAUUCAGGGGCGACUGGAACAAGCGGUGGAGCGGUGAAAUGCGUAGAUAUCGCUUGGAACGCCGAAGGUGAAAACAGGUCGCUGGGGAUGUGCCGACGCUGAGACACGAAAGCCAGGGGAGCAAACGGG
rnacentral:rRNA from 1 species